rnacentral:rRNA from 1 species
UACGUAGGGGCUAGCGUUGUCCGGAUUUAUUGGGCGUAAAGAGCGUGUAGGCGGCCAUGUAGGUCCGGUGUGAAAACUCGAGGCUUAACCUCGAGAUGUCAUCGGAAACCAUUUGGCUAGAGUCCGGAAGAGGAGAGUGGAAUUCCUGGUGUAGCGGUGAAAUGCGUAGAUAUCGUAAGGAAGACCAGUGGCGAAGGCGGGUCUCUGGACA